rnacentral:rRNA from 1 species
UUACCGAGCGAGAAUUCUCUGAAUUCAACCUCCCACCCGUGUUUAUUGUACCUUGUUGCUUCGGCGGGCCCGCCUCACGGCCGCCGGGGGGCAUCUGCCCCCGGGCCCGCGCCCGCCGAAGACACCUUGAACUCUGUAUGAAAAUUGCAGUCUGAGUCUAAAUAUAAAUUAUUUAAAACUUUCAACAACGGAUCUCUUGGUUCCGGCAUCGAUGAAGAACGCAGCGAAAUGCGAUACGUAAUGUGAAUUGCAGAAUUCAGUGAAUCAUCGAGUCUUUGAACGCACAUUGCGCCCCCUGGUAUUCCGGGGGGCAUGCCUGUCCGAGCGUCAUUGCUGCCCUCAAGCCCGGCUUGUGUGUUGGGUCUCGUCCCCCUUCCCGGGGGGACGGGCCCGAAAGGCAGCGGCGGCACCGCGUCCGGUCCUCGAGCGUAUGGGGCUUUGUCACCCGCUCUGUAGGCCCGGCCGGCGCUUGCCGAUCAACCAAAACUUUUUUCCAGGUUGACCUCGGAUCAGGUAGGGAUACCCGCUGAACUUAAGCAUAUCAAUAAGCGGAGGAAAAGAAACCAACAGGGAUUGCCCCAGUAACGGCGAGUGAAGCGGCAAGAGCUCAAAUUUGAAAGCUGGCUCCUUCGGGGUCCGCAUUGUAAUUUGCAGAGGAUGCUUC